CUCAGCCAAUUCAUCUUCUUUAUGUCCGUCUCUGUUUCUAUCACUUCAAGAUACUGAGGGCAUGACUCAACAAUUGCCAAGGCCCAAGAGGCAGAGGAAUAGGCAAAUUACUCAGUCAUCUUCCUCAAAGCUCCUCUUCUCCAUUGUGCUCAAACUAGCUAUAUUCUCAUCUUUACUACCAGUUUGUAUGUUGAAAGUGGGUUGCAUCGCAAUUGAUGGUGGGCCCUAGGGCUCUUUAUUUCUAGCUUUCGCUCAUCGACAUACCGCACCAGAUGUGGAGACUAAAGGCGCAAUCAGUUGUCCAAACAUAUAUAUAUAUAUAUAUAUAUAUAUAUACCAAACAAGCAAAGCUACGGGUUGGAGCAAAAAACAAGUCCUCUCCUAAGAAAAUGAUUGAUUAUUCAUCAAAGAAAAGGUCAAAGGAGUCACAUCACUGAGUGGUAUAUAUUGGGUCGCGAGAACUACCAGCUCCCUGAACAUAUCUAGAUAUAGGUAUGUAUAAGUUACAAUAGUGCCUUGAAGAGUUUGUACUCUGAAUGUAACAAUUAUUUGUUUUUCAGUGAAUAUAUGGCUCAUAGAACUUCAUCUUGGUACUUGUAGUGUUAGGCGAUGAAAAGAAAAGUGGAAAAAGUAGGUUCAUUUGUUUUCUCUUUUUUUUGCCUUUCAAACAAUUCAUUAUUAACAAAAACGCACACUAACAUAUGUGCUUUAUAACUAAUGGACUUUUUAUGUCAUCUUUUAAUCAUAUGAUUGAAGUUACUUCUUUCUUUUAGGAGGAUAAGUAAAAUGUAUAAACCAACUUUUCUGGAGAUUGUUUGCAUUAAAUAUUCAGCAUAUGCAUGUAGUUGUCAGCAUUACCUUAUAAAAGAAAAGAAAAGACAAGAUUUAGUUAUUUUUUUCCGUAAUUGUUAACAGGUAAUCAUAAGGAUAGGAGGAUCCUAUGCUGUUUUUGGAAAGAGUUGGAUUUACGAUGCAUCUUUAUAUUGUAGUAACAUUGUCUUGACCUUUAGUGACAUUGUUCCCUCUUCUCAAAAGGGACAUUUGGUUAUGGUACUCUAGAGUAGCUUGUUCGCGCAGAUUCUUGGCUUGUGUCUAUGCUCUCUCUCUCUUUCUAUCUUGUCAUUAUAUCAUGAUAUUUUUCAAAAUAUUCCUAUGGGACUUUUUUUUAGUAAUGUAUUCUAUUUCAAAAAUGCUUAACAUCUUAUUCUCUUCUCAAAAUAUGACUAAAAAGUUCUUUUGGUGGAGGCUAGGAAGAAUACAAAGUAGCAUAUGUUUCCAGCAAUAUCAACCUCAUCUAUGUUCUACGAAUUGAAGAUUCUAAAUGCAGAAGUGGGCUAAGAUGGAGUAGCAUGUAAGGAAUGAUAAUUUGGCCAUCAUCACUAUCACUGGGAACAGAUGGUUGUGAGGAUGGUUCUGACUAGAAUAUGCUUAUUUGGAGUUUGUUUUGUAUGAGUACUACGACGUCAUAUUCAGAUCUCACCUCAGGAAGACCACGUGUAACGUGGGUCUUAUACUGUGUCAGGGACUGUUUGAAUCUACUCCCAGCAACAGUUGAAGCGCUUUCACAGAAACUAUGGCCUGAACAUCGAUGUAUUCUCUAAGUUGUCAAGUUGCAUUUACACCGUUGAAGGAUCCUUGAGAACGCCUCAGCUUUGAUUCUUUUUGUUAGUAGAUGGUGUAAACGCUGAUAGCAAUAUCAUGCAUGUGGUUGAUCGUGUGGCAUAUGAUGAAGGAUAGGAAAUGAAUUUUUUUUUUUUUUUUUUUAAUCAGAUGUUCCGAAGGAGCAAGGAUAAAAAAUGAGUAAUCAAAUCAUAUGCACAAAUAAAAAAAGAUCAUAUGAUUGGGUUUGAUUUUGUAAGUGCAUUUUCAAAGAAAGCACAACAAGCAAUAUUUGCUCAGUUCUACAUC